UCCCCCGUGAGGGGGCAGUCUCGCCUGGCCCAUAGGCAACAGACAACGGGGGUUGCGUUCGUUACCCCACUGAAGGGAACAACUCAAGCCACGAACUGACGACGACCAUGCAUCACCUGUCCAGCACCCUCGAAGGCUCCCCUUCUUUCAAAGGGGAUGCAGCUGGAUUUCUAACCUUGGUAAGGUUCUUCGUUUGCCGACGAAUUAAGCCACAUAAUCCACCGCUUGUGCGAGUCCCCGUCUAUUCCUUUGAGUUUUAAUCUUGCGAUCGUACUACCCAGGCGGCUCGCUUACCGCGUUAGCUUAGCCUCACAGAGGGUCGAUACUCCGUAAAGCGAGCGAGCAACGUUGAGGGCCAGGACUA
rnacentral:misc_RNA from 1 species